GAUGAACGCUAGCGGCAGGCCUAAUACAUGCAAGGCGAGGGGUUGGCAACAACACCGUCGUACGGGUGCGUAACGCGUAUGCAACCUACCUAUCACAGGGGGAUAGCCUUUGGAAACAGGGAUUAAUACCGCAUAAAGCAGGGGCUUGGCAUCAAGAUACUGCUAAAGAUUUAUCGGUGAUAGAUGGGCAUGCGUCUGAUUAGUUAGAUGGUGAGGUAACGGCUCACCAUGACGAUGAUCAGUAGGGGGCGUCAGAGCGUGGUCCCCCACACUGGCACUGAGAUACGGGCCAGACUCCUACGGGAGGCAGCAGUAGGGAAUAUUGGGCAAUGGAUGCAAGUCUGACCCAGCCAUGCCGCGUGGAGGAAGAAGGUCCUCUGGAUUGUAAACUCCUUUUGUCGGGGAAGAAUAGUUCUCUUGCGAGGGAAAGU
rnacentral:rRNA from 1 species